GGAGAAAGAAGUGAUUACAAUAGCAACAGGAAUGGGAGACCAGAUUAAGCAGUUAAAGAAUCACACUGGAAAUCCAGGACAAGACAGAGAAAGUUCGUUUACUAAAAUCAGAAGAGGUUUGAGGGUGAAAAUGGGACUGAUUCUCAAAUCUGAAUCUAGAACGUCCUCCGCUGAACCUUCCCUUCUUAAGUUGCAGAAAUUACAACCCGAGAUGAACAAUUAUCAAAGAAGGGAAAAAAAAAGGUGAUCUGAAGCAGAAAAGCGGGAGAAAACAUCAAACAAGGUCACAAGAAGAAACUCUUUUAAAAUCAUAUAGAUUUUUCAUGAAUGUGGAAUCUCAAAAAUUCCAUAAUGUCCAUUAACGUGCAUGAUGCUGUUUAACUUGCUAUCUCUAAUUAUUAUCAGUUAAUUUCCUGGUCCAGAAUGCCCAAGGGACAGAAGAAGAAUCUCAACAAGCAAACCUCAGAUCGUCCAGCCUUGAGCUCUUUGUACUCUUUGCUUCUGCGGUCAAGCCCCUCCCAAAGUUCAAAAGGCUCAGUUCCUGGAGUAUAGGCAUGUAAGACAUGCUUCCCAGGUGGAGCAAGAUCAGGACUAAGCACGCUUGGUACAGAUAUUAAAACAACAUUCUGAUCAGCGUCAACCCCUCGCUUCCAGUCAUUCACAACCAUAUGAUGGAUGCCCAGGUCCUCAGGGAUACCCUAUACCCAAAAUGAGAAAGAAAAAUCAUAUGGUUGGAAACAUGGCGUGUUAAACACUACAUAUUAUUAAAUGGGAAAUCCAUACAGCCACCUAAUAGUUUUAGGAGACUAGUACGGCUAGUUUUACUAAAAUCAACUGGUAGCAUGACAAGAUGAUGCAUCUGACUUCUGUCUUAAUGAAUUCAAAUGUACUCCAUCCUUUCAAUAUCAAUCUGGUUGCCUAAAUACUUUCACAAACUGAAAAUCUUACAUCUUGUCACAUGAUGACUCUCAAGGGUCACCUUAACUAGGUCAUUGAGCAAAAACCUUAAAUCAUCCUUAUCAAAGAUGAACAUGCAUGCAAAUGAAAUUUCUCACAGUAGACAAUACUGCUGUAAGAUGGAUACAGAAAUAUGCUUGUGUCAGCUUGUUCAAAUCAGCAAAUAUGUGAGAUAUAGUCCAAAAUGGAAACUAUAAUUUCAAUUUUUCAAUCAUUUAUGUAAAUUGUUUAUAUAGUCAGAGAAAAAGUUACCGAAGUUACUUUUUCCUUAGGUAUAAUACUAUGACACUUGAAGCCAAGAUGUGACCAGAACAACAAAGUUAGCAUAUAGCAAGUUUAAAAUGUUGUUACCCACUUUGAUGAAUCAGAAGGAAGAAUUAGACAAAAUGUUUUCUCCAUAUAGCACAAACAUUCAGUACAAUACUAGCUUCAACAGGUGAUGCCAUCAUCAACACUUCAGCAAUAUAAAAGCAAAGAAUCCAAAGCAAAGCCAAAAAAAAAAAAAAAAACUUGAGGCGAACUCCAAAUAAUACAGCAAGGUGAACUCUAUCUCAAUUCAGUAAGGACAUAGUUUUAACAAAGGUUCUAGCUACAGAGAGAACUAGGUUGUAAACCUUCUAAACAAUACAGCAUUCACUGGUUGCCUAAGAAAAUUUUCUGAAUCAAUUUGAUAAGAGUGCAAAAUAUCAGUUCUCAGACAAUAACAGCCAAGACAAAAGCUGGCUGCUUCCUUACCAUUGCUUACCUCUGCUUCAAAUCCUAAAUGUAAGUGCAUGAACGAUUCACAUUGUGGGGUGCUUUUGAUUUUGUCUGCAUAUGAUUUUGGAACAAAUUCCUUGGGCAAUAACUUCAGUGUGUCCCACAUGGAUGCAUUGCUCACAACAGCCUUUCUAGCACGCACAAUCUGCAGUAAUGAUGUUGCAGAAUUUCAUUAAUGACACAAAUAAGAUAACGAUGUUCAUGUAUGAGAGAAUUUACUCACUUGGCCACUUCUUAGCUUCACACCAACAGCCCGGCCUCCUUCAACAACAAUACUUUCCACAUGACUCCUUAGAGAGAUCCGUCCACCAAGCUUCUGUAAUCCCCUGAUAAGAGCAUCAACAACUGCCCCACUUCCAUGAAGAGGGUAUUCUAGACAGCAACCUGGUUUAUACCAUUCUGAAAACAUGUAAAUCUGAGAAGUAGGGGUAUCAUGUUAGAUAAAUAUAGCUGAAUGCCUGAGCAAGGUAGACUUGAAAAUAAGACAAAGUAUAAAAUAGAAAGGUGAACAAUAUCAAUGCAGAUGUAAGUUAAAGUUAAAAUGAAAGGAAAGACCAGCUCUGCAUUGUCUUUAGAUAGACAAAUAUAGAAGCACAAUAGGGAUUUCUUGCACACACACACACACACACACAUAUAUAUAUAAAACGAGUUCAUCCAUGCAUGUUAAAACAUCUAUACAAUUUCAUCUAACUAAAACACAGAUCAAAAUUAAACAAUUCAUUGGAAGACAAAAGAAAAGCAGAAAGUAAUUUGUGGUCUAAUGCUCCAUGCAUGAGUUGAAAUUUCGGCCGUCAUUGUAAAAGAGAGUAUCAAAUACACAACAUACCAUUUCUGCUGAAAGGAUGCCAUUAGAUUUCACUCCUGCUAGCAAGAAAGAAAGAAGAUCCACCCAAUUCCGCACAAAAGGAUCUUUUAGUCCCAACGAGUCAAUGAUAUCUGAGAAAGGUCUUAAAAGCUUAGUAGCACCGAAGGCUCCCUGAGGUCCCAUUUGAGCAAAGGAUUGCAACAGAGAAGGUGCAUAUCUAGCGGCAGCCGUAGAAAGAACACCCCAAUCACCUCGAAUAGAUAGAGGGGGCAGAGCCAUUGCAGCUACAGACAGAGGAAGUAUUGCAUCCUGUAAAAGAUGUAUUGACAAUUGAGACAUUAAAAAAAGAAAUCAAUGAAAGUAAAUUUAGGAAUGAGCAUCAAUAGCACUCACAAGAAGCUUUCUCCAUUCUUUUGCAGCCUCUAGACCUGCAAACUUCUCAAGAUCCUGCAUAAGAAAAUGUUGUAUUAAGCAUCUUUCACCAGCAGAGACGCUUAAUACACGACCAUUGUUUUGAUAAAAGACAUGAACUUCAAAAGGUUAUUGAGAUGAGCUGGAGUGAUCCUCUUAGCUUUCCUGCUCAUAUCAGUUAUAGUGCUUGAUUUUGGAAGUGAAGCAUAGAUUACGUGUGUACAAAGGCAGACUUUAGCAAAAGAUCAUCUUCACAGUUGAAAAAAGUCGUCCAAUCUGAUAGCAAGCUUGUAAUAAUGCGUAAAAUUUUUGGGUAAACGAGUGACUGUAAUUUGAAGUUCGAUCACAUUCUUAUACAAGAACUGAAAUUUUCAAUCUGGUGAAGUCCUGUUGCAAAAUCUGGAUGAUCUACAUGUUUGAAAAAAUUCAAUAGAAUGAAUGUAGAUUCAUUUUGACAAUUCUAGAAACAUGAAGUCUAAAGUGAGCAAUAAAUUCACCUCGAAGAACUCUGUUGGCCCAAUGCGUGACAAGAACUCACCUUCAGGAACAUAUACCAUCCACGAGUCAUAGGUUGCACAGGGAAUCGACUCACCUAAUGCAUCAAGAACCUGCCAAAAAAAAAAAAAUCAUUAUAUCAAGUUUGAAAGCGAAACAGAAAUGCAUUUUUCGAGAAAUUUAAUUGCUCAUGCAAUAUAGUAUUUUCUUACUGAGCAGUGGAAAGACACUAUAACAUAACCAACACAAGUAAUACAGUCAUCUAAAUGCUGUUUGCGAUCUCACAGAUUUUUUUUUUUUGGGGAGCCGGGGGUGGGGGAUAUCUUUUGCUACACCUCUCCAACUCUCCAUACCAUGUUGCCUGCACUAGCCCACAGCGUUAGUUGAAACACUCAAAAUUAAGCACAUGGCCCCUUAAACUUUUCUGGACAUGUCACAGAAUUAACGAUCAAGAAGCUAAUAAUCUACAACCUUCUAACUGGCUGCAGUCCCGAGGGACAAAAGGGAACACUUAUCAGACAUCCUAUUGGUGAUUGGUGAAGGAGAUACGAUGAAAGUAAAAUUAUUGUUGGAAACGAAAGAAACAAUUACCUGUGCCAGAGGAUUGGCCUGUGGACCUCUUGACUGAAAUCCAGAAAAAAGAGAAGGGCCGGAGUCAAAUUUGUAGCCUUCGAUCUCGAAAGAAUGAGCAGCGCCCCCAGGCAAAUCAUGGCUUUCCAAAACCAGAACAUCUUGGCCAUAUCUGGCCAGAAGUCCAGCACAGCAUAACCCACCAAUACCACUACCAACAACCACAACAUCUGCCUCUGCCUUGCCUGCAGAUCAUUCUGCAACCAUAUUAAUACAUAAUUACCCCCUCAUUUUACACCCAAAAAAAAGAGAGAGAGGAGGGGGGGUGUUCCAAAAAAACUCCAUUAUGUACUAUACUACUGCAUUUCGUCUAGUUUAAUAGGUGUCUCUGGAAGAGGGAUCGAGAGAGGACCUGAAAAGGGUUUGGGUGGAUCAAUUACAGCAGUGGAUGAAGAGGGAUAGGCAUUGGAACUAGUGGAGUUGGAAGAAGAGGAACUUCUUGGCGCCAAAGAAAAGGGUCUUUUUCUAGUAGUCUUGGGUAGCCAAGGGCGUGGAGUGAAAUUUAAAAGCGGAGAGAUAGGUUGGGGUUGAAUUCGAUAAGGGAGCUUCGACGAAACUGAAAUGCCACCCACCAUUGUUUUUCAACACUAUAAAGGAAUGUAGUAAGAGCAAUUCUUGUAGCAUGUAACUCAACCUCGACUGUUGGAACCUUAAAAGUGGGUUCAAGAAGAAGACUGGAUAAGUAUAGAGUAACGAGACCAGUAUUAAAGUACCCCACAGCUCAAACAAACGACGGAAUAGUAAGUUCGUCGUGUGCUCCUCCCCAGCGUUGCUUCCUCAGCUCUUCUCACCACUACACUUUCUUAUCUUAUUACGCAGUCUAGAAGAUGCCACGCCAGGCCACCCACGAGCGACGUAAUUGCCUGGUAUUGCAGUUGGCAACUGACGCAAUGACUAUCAAUUACAUAGACGGUAUACCCCGUUUGGUUCCAGCAAACCAGGGAGGAAAAGGAAAGAAUUUUCUGGGAAAGAAAUUUUUGUGCUUGGCUAGUGUGGAAACUAAUAAGGAAAGGAAAUACGAAAAACACCUGAGUUGGAUCCUCUGUGUGUGUCAAAUUUAAUACUACUUUCACUUAUCAUGCCACUGAAGAAGCGGAUCCCACGUGGAAACUCCUACCAGAUUUUGCCUAAAAUAAGAAGGCCUUGUUUGUUUGGAUAGGGUAUUAUUUGAAAUAAUUAUUAUAGUACUUUUUGUGAUGUGAUGUGAUAUAUGUGAGAUAAAAAAGUGAUUGAGAAUAUAAAAAGAUUAGUUGGAAAAUGUGUUUAUGAUGCAAGUGAAAUAUUAUUUGAGAUAAUAUUGCUAUCCAAACACAUUGCGGGAUGAAACAGUGGAAAACCAGAAGCAGCUUGGUAUCUCUCUUUUCUCUCCACUUCACUUAAUUGAUUCUCAGCCUUGUCACUCCUUGAUUCUUACACAUAAAUUCGAUCCUCCAAUAAAAAAACAGUGAUUAACAAAGCACGGAGUGGUUUAAGAUAAAUAGAUUAUACAAUAAUUAACGUCUUCGAAUAAAAAAAUAACAUACGGGACGAUUCCCGCAAGGCGCAAGUAACCAAAGAUCCCUAUUGAUCCAAGAGUUUAUUGGGCCAAUAGACUCUUGGGUUGUUGGUACCACCAAAACAAUUAAGUCUAGGUCUUGCUUCCCAACUUGCCACUUAAUUGUAAUUUUUUUCGAUGGAAAAAUCUUGUCUGCUCUACCUCGCUUUAAACUAGGCUAAAGUAGGUUAUAUAAAUAUUAUCGUUGUGACAAAAAAAAAUCCAUCUAUUUAUUGGAAUCAAGGAACUAGUCUUUCUUAUUGAUAUCUCAGGAUGAAAAAUAGGGAUUUGUGAACCUUGACAGUCGAGAUGAUCCAGAGGUACAUGAGACCGUCUUGAUUUUGAUAAUUUGUUGCUUAUUUUUGGAAAAAUAAAAUUAAAGUCGCAUACUUAUGGUGUUGUUUUUAAUAUUAGUUUACUUGUUAUAGCACAAAUUUCUUAAUUGACAGCUCUUUAUAUACCAGUAUAUGCAUAUACGUUGCUGUGUUCAUCUUCUUAGUUCUUUUUUAUUUUUAAUAAUAGACAUAUUAUUGCUCUGAAAAAGUUUUGAGUAAUCAAUUUGUUGCUCACCUUGUAUCUUAUAAUGCUAAUUGGUUUGACAUGAAAUUCUGACUUGAACCCAGCCUUUUUGUGUCUUUUGCUUGGGAUACUUUAUUCUAGCUUUUUAUAGUGAGCAGUAGAUUGACUUGAUUUUGUGGAGGCUUUUGUGUGGAGCCCCUGCAAAAAAUAGUUUGUGCCAUCUGUGAAAAGUGCUGAGUAGGGAUACAAACCUAAUUGAUUAUUGUUGACCAUAUCUUUAUGCCUUUUGUCAUCAUGCUACUAGCUACUUUCUUAGAUUUUUGUUGUUUCAUGAGAUUGGUGCAAUAAUUGGCAAUCCAUUAAAAUGCAAUUUACAGUAAUCUUUCUCAAUCUCUCUUUAUAUGUUUGCAAUUCAAAAUCUCUUUUCAUUAGUAUCAUAAUUAAAGUAAACAAAGACCAUGAUAAUAAUGUCAUUGUCUCUGCUAAUUUUGCAGACAAUUAGCAGAGAAAGAAGCUUUGUCAUGCUUUCAGAUGAACUCCCAGGUCACUACAUUCCUACGGCAUCAAGAAGUUGGGAAUGCUGAGAAACAGAAACCAGUGAAUUGGCGACAACGAUACCACUUGCAGCCACAGCAGGACACCCAUUCCUGGAAAAGUAGAAUCACCGCAGCAGAAGAGUUGUGGGAUUGGGGUAGAAUGUCCUGGAAAUGUUCCUUUACCAACCUCUAUAGCUGGUCCAUAAGUUCCUCCAUCCCUCCGAAGAAACCUUUUAUGUGUCAAUGGAGUACCAACUAACUUCACCUCACACUUUGCGCGGUCAAAACCAGGACCGAGUGCACGUUCCACAGCCCGCCACAAUACCUGGUGGAGAAAGAAGUAGUGACAAUAGCAACAGGAAUGGGAGACCAGAUUAAGCAGUUAAAGAGUCACACUGGAAAUCCAGGACAAGCCAGAGAAAGUUCGUUUACUAAAAUCAGAAGAGGUCUGAGGGUGAAAAUGGGACUGAUUCUCAAAUGUGCAGUUCACAAGAUUAUCUGAAUCUUGAAUGUCCUCCGCUGAACCUUCCCUUUUUUAGUUGCAGACAAGCAGGAGAAAACAUCAAACAAGGUCACAAGAAGAAAUUCUUUUAAAAUCAUAUAGAUUUUUCAUGAAUGUGGUAUCUCAAAAAUUCCAUAAUGUUCAUUGACGUCCAUAAUGCAUUUUCGGGCAAAACAGAUAAGUAGUCCUGUUUAACUUGCUAUCUCUAAUUAUUAUCAGUUAUUUCCUGGUCCGGGAUACUCGAGGGAUAGAAGAAGAAUCUCAACAAGCAUACCUCAGAUCGUCCAGUCUUGAGCUCUUUGUACUCCUUGCUUCUGCGGUCAAGCCCAUCCCAAAGUUCAAAAGGCUCAGUUCCUGGGGUAUAGGCAGGUAAGACAUGCUUCCCAGGUGGAGCAACAUGAGGACUAAGCACACUUGGUACAGAUAUUAAAACAACAUUCUGAUCAGCGUCAACCCCUCGCUUCCAGUCAUUCACAACUAUAUGAUGGAAGCCCAGGUCCUUAGGGAUGCCCUAUAUCCAAAAUGAAAAAGAAAAAUCAUAUGGUUGGAAGCGUGGCAUGUUAAACACUACAUAUUAUUAAAUGGGAAAUCCAUACAGCCACCUAAUAAUUUGAGGAGACUAGUGCGACUAGUUUUACCAAAAUCGUCUGAUUGAAUGACAAGACGAUGCAUCUGAUUUCUGUCUUCUUGAAUUCAAAUGUACUCCACCCUUUCAAUAUAAAUCUGGUUGCCUAAUUACUUUCACAAACUGAAAAUCUUACAUCCCGUUACAUGAUGUCUCUCAAAGGUCAACUUAACUAAGACAUUGAGCAAAAACCUAAGACCAUCCUUAUCAAAGAUAACAUGCAUGCAAAUGAAAUGUCUCACUGUAGACAAUACUGC
rnacentral:lncRNA from 1 species